rnacentral:misc_RNA from 1 species
AGUAUUGUGUUAAACCUGAAGCUGAAACGUCAUAUUCAAAAUGAAUAAGUUGACGAAAAUACAAAAUAUCGUUAUCAGAUCUGGAAGUCGUAAUUAUGGAAAAAUCGGAAUAAUUGGUGUACCGUUUGAAAAGGGGCAGCAUAAAGAGGGUGUAGCGUAUGGCCCAAGAGUGAUCAGGGCAGCUGGAUUAGUGGAAGAAUUAAAAUCCUUAGGCUUGGAUGUUAAAGAUUAUGGUGAUAUCUUAUAUAAAGUUAAAAAUGUGGAUGGUGUAAACAAUAUGUCGCACUUAGGCGACGUUGCUGGAUGUACAAGCUGUUUAUCUGAACAAGUUCAAAAAGUUUUAAAAGAAGGUCGUAGAGUAUUAACUCUAGGUGGUGAUCAUAGUUUAGGUAUUGGAACCAUAGAUGGUCAUGUUAAGGAAAAGAAGGAUGUAGGUGUAAUUUGGGUUGAUGCUCAUGCAGAUCUUAAUACCAACAAGACCAGCGAAAGUGGAAAUGUUCAUGGAAUGCCUGUAGCACUAUUAACAUCUGAAUUAGCUGAUUACUGGCCACAUUUGCCAGGCAUGGAUUGGCAACAACCUAUGCUAUCUAUUAGAAAUGUAGCUUAUAUUGGAUUAAGGUCUGUAGAUUCUUAUGAAAGAUUAGUUAUUGAAAAAUUUGGUAUAACUGCUUUUGGUAUCGAAGAUGUUGAAAGAUAUGGUAUUCACGAUGUUGUUUACAUGGCAUUAAACAAAAUAGAUCCUAAUGAAUCAAAGUCACUGCAUGUUAGUUUUGAUAUUGAUUCGUUAGAUCCAUUGGAAGCACCAUGUACAGGAACUCCUGUACGUGGUGGAUUAUCUUUAAGAGAAGCUAUUCAUUUAAUGGAGGAACUAUAUAGAACUAAUAGACUUAAUGCUAUAGACCUUGUAGAGGUGAAUCCCCAUAUUGGUAACCAACGUGAUGUUAAUUUCACUGUUGAAGCUGCUAUUCAUAUUAUUCAAGCAGGAUUUGGUUACACAAGACGAGGUCUUAAGGUUCCAAAAGUCGAUGGAUUCCAACUUACGGAUCUUCACUAAAAGACACUAUAAUUAAACGACAAACGUUUGAUUGAAUACCUCCAUACGGAAGUGACAUGAAUUGCGAUUGGUAGGGUAGCGUUAUAUUAUUACGUGUCAUGUACGCAAAUCUGCUUUUCUCAAUUGCUUGAGAUUGUAAAAAGGCUCCUGAAGUUCUUUGACAUCAGUUUAUUCCUAUCGUUAAAGCAAGACGAUGCGCCAGUUGAAAGGAAAGACUAAAGAAACAAACAAACAGAAAAAAGAAAGGAAAAAGGAAUUUCUAGAGAAUAAACAACGUGUCUUUACUAUUGUAUUACCUACAAUGGCUGCGAUAUUUGUUGUAAUAGCAAUGUACGUUUAUGCUAAAACCCGUCCAAAAGUUGUUGAGUAUUAAUCAGCAUAUUUAUUAUCAAUCAUUAAAAUACAACUUGUAAUGUAUUUCAAGAAUGCUGGGCAAGUUCCUUGAUAUAUUUGUAUGGUUAAAUAAGAAUUAUUUGAUAAGAAGGCAGACUUGAAGGCCUGUCCAUGAGGCAAUUCAUUCCUACCAUUCAAUAAUCAAAUAUAGAUAUUAUGCAUUGAUUGUAUGACUUUUAAAAAAUAUUUUUCACGUGAAAUAAUUCAUAAUAUUGGAACAUAAGUAUUAACUAAGGAAGUAUAAAUAAGGAAUUUUUAUUAUAUGGAAGAUAAGGUGAAAUUACUCUUAUCAUUAUUAAAAACAUUUGUCUAUGUCAAUAUAAUUAUUCUUUAAAUUUACAUAUUCCAUUGCAUUUUACUGCAUAUUUUGAAUGCAAUUUUAUAAACUAAUAAUGGAUCUCCUAAAAUGAUUGUUCCAACAUUAAAUACAAUUUCAAAUA